ACGGAAGGCAGCAGUGGGGAAUAUUGCACAAUGGGGGAAACCCUGAUGCAGCGACGCCGCGUGAGUGAAGAAGUUAUUCGUAAUGUAAAGCUCUAUCAGCAGGGAAGAAAAUGACGGUACCUGACUAAGAAGCCCCGGCUAACUACGUGCCAGCAGCCGCGGUAAUACGUAGGGGGCAAGCGUUAUCCGGAUUUACUGGGUGUAAAGGGAGCGUAGACGGUCUAGCAAGUCUGAUGUGAAAGGCAGGGGCUCAACUCCUGGACUGCAUUGGAAACUGUUAGUCUUGAGUGUCGGAGAGGUAAGCGGAAUUCCUAGUGUAGCGGUGAAAUGCGUAGAUAUUAGGAGGAACACCAGUGGCGGAGGCGGCUUACUGGACGAUAACUGACGUUGAGGCUCGAAAGCGUGGGGAGCAAACAGGAUUAGAUACCCUGGUA
rnacentral:rRNA from 1 species